rnacentral:tRNA from 1 species
GAGGGGUGUUCAGCACAUAAAGAACUGCUAAUUCUUAACCCUAGGGUUAAACUCCCUAGACCCCUCA